ACGAGACCUUAACCUGCUAAAUAGUCCGGCCGGCUUUUGCUGGUCGCAGACUUCUUAGAGGGACUGUCAGCGUCUAGCUGACGGAAGUUUGAGGCAAUAACAGGUCUGUGAUGCCCUUAGAUGUUCUGGGCCGCACGCGCGCUACACUGACAGAGCCAGCGAGUUCUCACCUUGGCCGGAAGGUCUGGGUAAUCUUGUGAAACU
rnacentral:rRNA from 1 species